CACGUGAGUAAUCUGCCCUUGGCUUUGGGAUAAGCCCCGGAAACGGGGUCUAAUACCGGAUACGACGCACCCACGCAUGUGGUGUGUGUGGAAAGUUUUUCGGCCAGGGAUGUGCUCGCGGCCUAUUAGCUAGUUGGUAAGGUAAUGGCUUACCAAGGCGACGAUCUCUAGCUGGUUUGAGAGGAUGAUCAGCCACACUGGGACUGAGACACGGCCCAGACUCCUACGGGAGGCAGCAGUGGGGAAUAUUGCACAAUGGGGGAAACCCUGAUGCAGCCAUGCCGCGUGUGUGAAGAAGGC
rnacentral:rRNA from 1 species